CGCAUCUGUGCAUGCAGCAUAUCAAUAAGCGGAGGAAAAGAAACUAACAAGGAUUCCCUUAGUAACGGCGAGUGAAGCGGGAAGAGCUCAAAUUUGAAAUCUUCAAGGUUUUACCUUGACGAAUUGUAGUUUAAAGAAGUGUUUUCUGUUGAAGUUUUGGUAAAAGUUCUUUGGAAUAGGACAUCAUAGAGGGUGAGAAUCCCGUAUUUGACCAUUAUUUUCAACUGUGUGAUACACUUUCAAAGAGUCGGAUUGUUUGGGAAUGCAGUCCAAAAUGGGUGGUAAAUUUCAUCUAAAGCUAAAUAUUGGCGAGAGACCGAUAGCGAACAAGUACCGUGAGGGAAAGAUGAAAAGAACUUUGAAAAGAGAGUUAAACAGUACGUGAAAUUGUCAAAAGGGAAGCGUUUGACACCAGUGUUGUUUUCUCGAAAAUCAAUUAAAAAGAGUUAGAUUUUGUUGUGUAUUGACCUUAACAGCUUGCAUUUCAAUAUUCUUGCUUUUUUUAAUGCACUUUUCGUUUAACAAGUCAACAUCAGUUUCUUUUGUUGUAAAAAGGGUCAUUGGAAGGUGGCUUCACUUUCGGAUGAAAGUGUUUAUAGCCUUUGACUUCCUGCAAUCGGAGAGACUGAGGUCUGCAGCGUAGAUCCUUCUGGGAUUAGAUUACAUUUGUGCUAAGUUAUAGCUUUUUAUAGACAACUUGUUGACUAUGAUUAGUCUUGUAGCUUACUCGCUUAUGCUAUUUUACCUACGCUUAGGAUGUUGACACACGCACAGAGUCUC
rnacentral:rRNA from 1 species